UUGUCUUUAGUAGUCUGCCUCCGGCCUCCAAGCUGUGCCUGUCCCUCCUACCUUAACCCCCCUCUCCCCAGCUCCUCUCUCUCACACACACACACACACCACUGCACACACACAUUCUAAUCCUCUUUUUUUUCCUCCACUCGCCGCUUCAGCUUCUGAGGCAACUCUGACAUAAGUUACCCAAAAGUCAGUGAUAGGGGGGACCAACUGUGAACUGGUUAUGCGUACAUGUGACUGUGUGUGUUAGAGAGAGAGAGGGAGUCCACCAGUCAGCUCAGAGUGGUUAAUCUGUUUCUCCCUCCCUCUAUGCCUUUUGUUGCGGCCCCUCACUUUUCCCCUGCUAGCCUGGAUAGAGGGAGCUGACACUGUGCCUGCCUGCUCUGGACUGGAUAUGGCGUAGAGACACCCUGACACUACCCUGACUGGAUGUUCACCCUACGAGCUGAUGCAAUCACGGCGUCGGGACCUACCCUAGACAAAGACCAACGGGACAGCGUUUUUUCAAGAGUGGCAGGUAUGCCCCCUAA
rnacentral:lncRNA from 1 species